GCUCCCAUGGCGUAGUGGUCACUGCACUCGCCUGGCACGCGGGAGACCCGGGUUCGAUUCCCGGCGGGGUCA
rfam:Asian citrus Psyllid, Diaphorina citri - Florida Strain, whole genome shotgun sequence.